GGGCGAGCUGGGGCACGGGGACCGCUCUGACCCAGGGACGUGUCUGCCUCUGGGACGUAGACAGGUGCACGAGCGCCGUAAGGGAUGUCCAGGUGCCCAGGCCGAAUGGUGCACCCCUGGACGUGCACAGGUGCAGGCCCUACUGCUCAUCCUGGAGAUUUUCCCAGCCUGCCUAGCCACUUUGGAGCCCCUGAUGGAUGACCGGCAGAGCCCUCUGAAGGGUGGCUCAGAGAAGUUAGGAGACCUACUGAAGACCCGUGGGGCUGAGAUGCAAGCUCAGGAUGAGAUCUGGAGCAGCAGUCCCACCUUCUCGGAAAGCUACCCCCAGCCAGUUCCGU
rnacentral:lncRNA from 1 species